rnacentral:misc_RNA from 1 species
GUUUCAUCCUUAAUAUUACAUGCAAAUGUCUUCAGUUGCCCAUGUACACAAAGCAUAUUUAGAAAAGCUUCUGGCUUCAUGAUAUACACGGCAUGAAAUAUUCUGCACGCUUUUCUUUUUUGUGGGAGGGUGUGUUAUGUGAUGGAGCUGGGGGGAAUUAGUCUUUUUAAGAUAACUGUUUUCCAAAUGCAAAGUUCAUAAAUUUGGCUGCUGCUUCUAUGGCUAGUUGACUUGGUCCUUCGUAGUUUGUUACCUGAUGCUCUUGUGAUUUAUG